rnacentral:rRNA from 1 species
GAACGGGGAGGAGCCCAGAGCCUGAAUCAGCAUGUGUGUUAGUGGAAGCGUCUGGAAAGGCGCGCGAUACAGGGUGACAGCCCCGUACACAAAAGCGCAUGUGUUGUGAGCUCGAUGAGUAGGGCGGGACACGUGGUAUCCUGUCUGAAUAUGGGGGGACCAUCCUCCAAGGCUAAAUACUCCUGACUGACCGAUAGUGAACCAGUACCGUGAGGGAAAGGCGAAAAGAACCCCGGCGAGGGGAGUGAAAAAGAACCUGAAACCGUGUACGUACAAGCAGUGGGAGCACAGGUUUACCUGUGUGACUGCGUACCUUUUGUAUAAUGGGUCAGCGACUUAUAUUCUGUAGCAAGGUUAACCGUAUAGGGGAGCCGGAGGGAAACCGAGUCUUAAUUGGGCGUUAAGUUGCAGGGUAUAGACCCGAAACCCGGUGAUCUAGCCAUGGGCAGGUUGAAGGUUGGGUAACACUAACUGGAGGACCGAACCGACUAAUGUUGAAAAAUUAGCGGAUGACCUGUGGCUGGGGGUGAAAGGCCAAUCAAACCGGGAGAUAGCUGGUUCUCCCCGAAAGCUAUUUAGGUAGCGCCUCGUGAAUUCAUCUCCGGGGGUAGAGCACUGUUUCGGCUAGGGGGCCAUCCCGGCUUACCAACCCGAUGCAAACUGCGAAUACCGGAGAAUGUUAUCACGGGAGACACACGGCGGGUGCUAACGUCCGUCGUGAAGAGGGAAACAACCCAGACCGCCAGCUAAGGUCCCAAAGUCAUGGUUAAGUGGGAAACGAUGUGGGAAGGCCCAGACAGCCAGGAUGUUGGCUUAGAAGCAGCCAUCAUUUAAAGAAAGCGUAAUAGCUCACUGGUCGAGUCGGCCUGCGCGGAAGAUGUAACGGGGCUAAACCAUGCACCGAAGCUGCGGCAGCGACGCUUAUGCGUUGUUGGGUAGGGGAGCG